AGACAGAGAAUAGAGGUAGACAUGCUCUUUGAAUAAUAAUAAUUGCAAGGGUGAGAUGACAGAUUAGCAAAAUGUGUAUGUGUGAGCAGGACAUAGCAUAAAUUUUUUGUCUCUAUUUGCGUAUCGGUUUUUGUUGUUUGGCAUCACUGGUCAUUGAUGGCAAACAAACUGUGGUGUCAAGAUAUUUUCGUUGUUAAAAACUGUGAAACGCAUACUUUGUGUAAUCUAAUUUGUGACUUUAUUGAUAUUUUAGAAGGUAAUAUUUAGUGUCUAGUGAUGGUGAAUUGCUGUAUAAAUGGCUGUAAAAGUCGUAGUGAACGAAAUCAACCAAACAUAACCUUUCAUCGAUUUCCGAAUGAACCAAUUUUAAGAAAAAAGUGGACUGAGUGCACGGGGCGAAUUAACUGGCAUCCAAGUCGUCACUCCCGAAUCUGCUCCCGACAUUUUGAAGCUAGUUGCAUUCGACAGAAAUUAAAUAGUACUCACUUAAAUCCACAUUCGAUACCGACUCUUUUCAUUCAGGUCCAACCGGCUUUAGAUCAACCGAGUACCUCUAAAUGUGAUACUUUGGGGGUUGAUGUGCAAGCAAAGGAUUAUUUG